rnacentral:rRNA from 1 species
CAGUAGCCGCGGUAAUACGUAGGGCGCAAGCGUUAUCCGGAAUUAUUGGGCGUAAAGAGCUCGUAGGCGGUUUGUCGCGUCUGCCGUGAAAGUCCGGGGCUCAACCCCGGAUCUGCGGUGGGUACGGGCAGACUAGAGUGAUGUAGGGGAGACUGGAAUUCCUGGUGUAGCGGUGAAAUGCGCAGAUAUCAGGAGGAACACCGAUGGCGAAGGCAGGUCUCUGGGCAUUAACUGACGCUGAGGAGCGAAAGCAUGGGGAGCGAACAGGAUUAGAUACCCCCGUAGUCCCUGUCUCUUAUAA